rnacentral:rRNA from 1 species
GACGAACGCUGGCGGCGUGCUUAACACAUGCAAGUCGAACGGAAAGGCCCUGCUUUUGUGGGGUGCUCGAGUGGCGAACGGGUGAGUAACACGUGAGUAACCUGCCCUUGACUUUGGGAUAACUUCAGGAAACUGGGGCUAAUACCGGAUAGGAGCUCCUGCUGCAUGGUGGGGGUUGGAAAGUUUCGGCGGUUGGGGAUGGACUCGCGGCUUAUCAGCUUGUUGGUGGGGUAGUGGCUUACCAAGGCUUUGACGGGUAGCCGGCCUGAGAGGGCGACCGGCCACAUUGGGACUGAGAUACGGACCAGACUCCUACGGGAGGCAGCAGUGGGGAAUAUUGCACAAUGGGCGGAAGCCUGAUGCAGCAACGCCGCGUGCGGGAUGACGGCCUUCGGGUUGUAAACCGCUUUCGCCUGUGACGAAGCGUGAGUGACGGUAAUGGGUAAAGAAGCACCGGCUAACUACGUG